AUUGAACGCUGGCGGCAUGCCUUACACAUGCAAGUCGAACGGUAACAGGUCUUCGGAUGCUGACGAGUGGCGAACGGGUGAGUAAUGCAUCGGAACGUGCCCAGUUGUGGGGGAUAACUGCUCGAAAGAGCAGCUAAUACCGCAUACGACCUGAGGGUGAAAGCGGGGGAUCGCAAGACCUCGCGCAAUUGGAGCGGCCGAUGUCAGAUUAGGUAGUUGGUGGGGUAAAGGCCUACCAAGCCGACGAUCUGUAGUUGGUCUGAGAGGACGACCAGCCACACUGGGACUGAGACACGGCCCAGACUCCUACGGGAGGCAGCAGUGGGGAAUAUUGGACAAUGGGCGCAAGCCUGAUCCAGCCAUGCCGCGUGUGUGAAGAAGGCCUUCGGGUUGUAAAGCACUUUCAGUAGGGAGGAAGGGUGUUGUGUUAAUAGCACAGCAUUUUGACGUUACCUACAGAAGAAGCACCGGCUAACUCUGUGCCAGCAGCCGCGGUAACAC
rnacentral:rRNA from 1 species